GACGAACGCUGGCGGCGUGCCUAAUACAUGCAAGUAGAACGCUGAAGGAGGAGCUUGCUCUUCUGGAUGAGUUGCGAACGGGUGAGUAACGCGUAGGUAACCUGCCUGGUAGCGGGGGAUAACUAUUGGAAACGAUAGCUAAUACCGCAUAACAGUAGAUGUUGCAUGACAUUUACUUAAAAGGUGCAAUUGCAUCACUACCAGAUGGACCUGCGUUGUAUUAGCUAGUUGGUGGGGUAACGGCUCACCAAGGCGACGAUACAUAGCCGACCUGAGAGGGUGAUCGGCCACACUGGGACUGGGACACGGCCCAGACUCCUACGGGAGGCAGCAGUAGGGAAUCUUCGGCAAUGGACGGAAGACUGACCGAGCAACGCCGCGUGAGUGAAGAAGGUUUUCGGAUCGUAAAGCUCUGUUGUAAGAGAAGAACGAGUGUGAGAGUGGAAAGUUCACACUGUGACGGUAACUGACCAGAAAGGGACGGCUAACUACGUG
rnacentral:rRNA from 1 species